UCUCCAUCUCCAUCUGCAUCUUCAUCUCCAUCUCCUUAACCUUCUCCUUCUUCAUCUCCUUAUCCGGGUCCGUAUCCUCCUCCACCUCCACCUCCACCUCCAUUUUCAUCUCCUUCUCCUCCUCGUCGUUGGACUCCCUAGGAUCAGAGAGCUUGGGAAAGGAGUGAUGGUGAUUGGGAGUGGCAGUGUUGUUGAGCUUGAGGAUGGAGGAUCGGCGUGGGUGAACGUUGUGGCAAAGUUUCUUCAAUCGAGCUCGCAAUUCGCGCGUCUUCCCCUUGGAUGGCCCCUUCGAACUCUCAAACCAUAUGUCCCAGCUGAAACCCCAACAAUACCAUCAAUUUCUAAUCUACUUUCAACUUCUAUAAUACUUAUCAUAAUAUUGUCUUUCCUGUUUCAUUCCUCUUGUUUUCUUAUUACUUGCUAAACAAACUAAGACUCAAUAAAAUU